UACGUAGGGUGCAAGCGUUAAUCGGAAUUACUGGGCGUAAAGCGUGCGCAGGCGGCUUUGCAAGACAGAUGUGAAAUCCCCGGGCUUAACCUGGGAACUGCAUUUGUGACUGCAAGGCUGGAGUGCGGCAGAGGGGGAUGGAAUUCCGCGUGUAGCAGUGAAAUGCGUAGAUAUGUGGAGGAAUACCGAUGGCGAAGGCAGCCCCCUGGGAUAACACUGACGCUCAUGCACGAAAGCGUGGGGAGCAAACAGG
rnacentral:rRNA from 1 species